rnacentral:lncRNA from 1 species
AAAAGAUAUAUAUAUAUAUCUUUUCCCGUGUGAUGGGUUGAAAAAAUCGAAUUUUUUUUUGCAUAAAUUUUGAUUCCUAAACAUGUUUAGAAUAUGUUGGUAAAAUGAUUUUCCAAUAUUCGAAGUUGUUGGAAAGUUCUAUAACUUUAAAGAAGAGCAGGUGUUCGAAGCACUAAGUUGAGCGGUGGGGUACUGGGCCUAUUGUGACGUGUCAGCUUAUUACCUGAAAGCUUCCAAUACGAAUGUACACUUAUAUAUACAAGGAUAGAAAAAGAUUUAGAAGAUCACAUGUUUUUUCAAACUUAUUUUUAAAUUUUAAGGUUAGUUUAAUCUUGGCUUGGCACUGUAAAGCGUAACAGCUAUGACAAAUAAGUUCGAAAUCAGAGAUCAGUUUAUAAGUUGUUAGUUUUCCCAAUGAGUAGUAAAAAAGGAAGUAAGGGCGGUAAUAUUCAUCCUGGUCGUAAUAAGAAACGAAGGUUUAGUGGAAAUCGUUAUACAGCUUCUGUUAAGAAACUGAAAGACGGUAUGGAUAUAGUGGUGCCCGGCACUUCAAGUUUUGGCUAUUGCAUUCUGGAGUUUACAUCUGUAUUUUCUGCCAUCUCUGCAAGCGUCAUAUGUAAAAAAUGUAAAAGUGAUGUGUCUUUCACUCAAUCAAGUUUACAAAGCUUGGGUUUUAAAAUUAUCCAAUCCUGCAAGUGUGAGAGACAGCAGUUUAUAAAAUCGUGCCCUAUGAUUCAGCAUGCGUGUGAAAUAAAUCGUCGUUUUGUUUUUGUAAUACGUUUAUUAGGAAUUGGUCACAAGGGAGUGAAUCUUUUUUGCAGUCUCAUAGACAUAUGUGGAGGUAUUGGUAAUUAUGUGCUCUUAGAAAAUGUUAGCUGCAUCUGUAGUUUUUGAUUCAGUGUUGACAUUUACUGCCACACAAGAGAAAACUAUGAAUGAAGAAUCCGGAAAGCCAUGGGAUGAAUUGACAGUUUCAGGCUAUGGCACUUGGAAGAAAAGAGGCCUUCAUCUCUUUUUGGCGUCUUUACGUUGGUUGGAAGAUACACCGGAAAAGUUUUAGACGCAAUGGUUAUGAGCAGUUUUUGCAGUGGAUGUAAUUUGUGGAAGGACAAAAAAAAAUGGAAUCAAUAGAGUACGAAACAUGAUAAGUCAAUCAGCCGGAAUCAUGGAGACCUUUUUUUCAAGAUGGGUAUCUUCGGAGUGGUACAACUCAUAUUUUUAUGGAGAUUUAUGCCUACCAAUUUUUUUACACACUACUGAAAUAUUAAUAAAUAUAUCAUAAAAAGUCCAAAAUUCUAUCUUUUUAUUGGCCGUCAAAUAAAAUUCCUAAAAAAUGCUUAAAAAAUCGGCCGUCACACGAACGCUUCUAAAUAUAAAGUUCUAAUAUAAUUUGUAAAAAUAUCUAAAUGUACUGAUCAAAAUAUUGCCCGCUAACGCAAAUAUAAGUUUGACCCUGCUGUAGUAUGCUGUUCAUGACAUGGCACAUUUCUUGUCGAUUUCUAUUAAUUUCUGCAAAUAUAUCUCUAAUUUGUUCUAUCACAACAUCAAGCGUAGCUAUCUCAAUUACAUAAACUUUUUGUUUUAAUUUCUUCCAUAAUAAACAAAAAUCUAGUGGGACGAUGUCAGGUGAUCUAGACGGCCUAGCUAUUGUUCAGAGAAAAAUACGUUGAUUAUUCCAAGAUAGUAAACAACAUAUACAGACCAAUAACAUUAUCCUUGAUCAUAACAUUUAGACAGUUUUAUAAUUUAUGUUAUAACUUUUUAAUAAAGCUUUGAAUGAUCUAUGUUUUUAUAUAACAUAUUUUUCUUAUUUUUGUGCGUAGAAUAAGCUUACAUUUGUACAGAAAAACAUCUGACAUUCUGUAUAUAUACAUAUGUAUAAUUUUUUUGUUUAUAAUCCUAUUAAAAAACUUCAAAGGAAAAAAAUUGCAAUAUUGCAGAAGGGAAAACUAAUGGUUAAGAAAAUUUUUGGAAAUUCAAGGUUAUCGAUGCUUUUUAAAUAAAUCUAUAUAUAUAUAUAUUUGUGAUGAUAUUCUUGCAGAACAUGAACAAAACUAAUAAAAAUGAUCUUUAUGAUCAUAUCAUAUCAAUCAUUUAUUUUCGAUAUACAUAUAUACAUAUAGAAUCUUUCGCCUAACUCGACUACCUAAAAUAUCUUGUUUAUUUUGUACGAUAGAAAAAAUGUCAAAGAAAAAAAAUAUUUUGCGAAGGCGCCGAUAUAAUAGCGAUGGACCGAAUUUUUUCUGAGAUAUCGAAAAUAUUUAAUGAUUUUAAUAUAUGAACAAUUAUAAUAUGAAAUAAAUCACAAAAUAAAUUUUUUAACUAACGAUAAGUCCACUGUCAAUUAUUAAAACAUAUAUAUUAUUUUCAUUAUGUGUAUACGUAUUAAAUUACAAAAAAAUUGUUUAAUCAACAAGUAUACUUCAAAAAUUAAAUUUUAACAUUUUUUUUUUGCGAUUAUUCAUUGUGACAAUGAACAUGCAACGUACUCUACUAAUUACUUCUAUCGAAUGGGAAAAAAUUCACGCAAGAUUAGUUUUAAAAUGUAUCAAAUAAUUUAUUUCUGACUCUACUGGUAUUAGAACACAUUUUGAUUUCAUCAUAAAUUUUUAGUGCAUGUGCAUGUUCAAAUUGUAUAUUUAUAAAUAAAAUACUUACCUUUUUUUUUAUAAAACUGAAUGGUUUAUGUGUAACAAUGAUAUAUUAUUUUUGCAAUAUAUAUUGAAACAAUCUAUGUAAAUUAUGCACUAAAUAUUUUUUUUGGCGUUACCAACUUAGUUCACUGACAUUAGGUAAAACAAAACAAUAAAAAUUAUACAUGAUACUGUACAUGAUUACAGGAACAAUUUUUAAAUAGUACAUUUAAGUGAAAGUAAAAAAUCAUUUACACUACAUUAAGCGUUAUACGCUAUCUCUUAUGAAGAAGAUCUAGAAUAAGCUAUAUGUAUUAUACAAAUUAUAAAUAUAAUUUCCUCGCUUUUGACAGCAAAAUGUUUAGAACUACA